GCGGGAUUAGUUCAGUGGUAGAACGUCUCUUUUCCAAAGAGAAGGUCAGGGGUUCGAAUCCCCUAUCCCGCUCCA
rnacentral:tRNA from 1 species